AAUAAAAAAUUUAAUUAAAAAAAAUUGUAAAUAAAUUUAAUUUAUUAAUAAAAAUAUUUUUUUUUAGUUUGUGUAAUAAAAAUAAAAACAAUAUUUAAUAUUUUUAUAGUUUAAAGUAAUGAAAUUGAAAAUUGAAAUAAUAUUGAAAUAGUAAAUUAAAAAAAAGAAUAAUUAAUUUUUUGUUCCUUGUGUAUCAGGAUUAAUUUAAUUUUAAAUUUAAUAUUUUAAUUAAUUUAUAAUUUAAGAAAUUAAAAAUUUUUUAAGUUUUAUUGUAUAAAAAAUAUUAUUUAAAAAUUUUUAAAAAUGAAACGUUAAUUGUUCUUAAAGUUAUAUAAUUUUUAAAGAAAUAAAUUUAAUUUAAAAAUAAUUUUUUAUUAUUAAUUAAUCGAUUGAAAAUAAUUUUUAGUUUAUAAUAAUAAAAUUAAAUUAUUUUUAUAUUUUAAGGGUUGAGCUUUAAAAUAAAUUAUUAUAAAAAUAAAAAGUUUAAAUUUAAAAAAUAAAUAAUCUUAAAAAUAGAUAUUUUUAAUUAAAAUGUUUUAAUUAAUUUUUUUUUAUAAUAAAAAUUUAUUAUAUUUUUUUUAAGGUUUUAUUUAAAUUAUUAUUUUAAUCAAUAAAAUAAUAAAAUAAUAAUUAAAUUAGUAGUUUAAAUUUUAAUUUAAAAUUAAUAAAAUUUGAUAUUUUAAUAUUAUUAAUUCGGCAAUAUUAUUUUUAUUUGUUUAACAAAAACAUUGUUUUUUUUAAUUUUUAAAAAAUAAAGCCUGCACACUGAAUAAUUUUAAAGAGCCGCGGUAAUUUGACCGUGCAAAGGUAGCAUAAUCAUUAGUUUUUUAAUUGAAGACUGGAAUGAAAGGUUUGAUAAAAAAUAAGCUUUAUUAUAUUAAUAAAAAAUGAAUUUAUUAUUUUAGUAAAAAAUCUAAAAUAAUUAUGAAAGACGAUAAGACCCUAUAAAGCUUUAUAAAUUAUAUUUAUAAUUUUAUUUAGACUAUUUAAUAUUUUAAAUUUUAGUUUAUUUGAUUGGGGUGAUUUUAAGAUUUAUUUAACUCUUAUUUUUAUUAUUCGAUUUUUAUUGUUUUACAUAUGAUCCUAAUUUUUUGGAUUGUUAAAUUAAGUUACUUUAGGGAUAACAGCGUAAUUUUUUUGGAGAGUUCAAAUCGAUAAAAAAGUUUGCGACCUCGAUGUUGGAUUAAGAUAUAAUUUUAGGUGUAGAAGUUUAAAUUUUUAGUCUGUUCGACUAUUUAUUCUUACAUGAUCUGAGUUCAAACCGGUUUAAGCCAGGUUGGUUUCUAUCUUUAUAAUUUUAUAUUAUAUUUUAGUACGAAAGGACCAAAUAUAAAAAUUUAUUAAUUUAAAAUAUUUUUGAAAAAAAUUAAAUUUUUUUAUAAAAAUUUUUAUUUAAAUUUAUUUAUUUUAUUAAA
rnacentral:rRNA from 1 species